UCCGCGACCCGUACGGUCGUUUCCCGGACACGAGUGCGCCAUUGUUGUAAGCGAAAAGUCGGGAAGUCGGGAUGCAUAAAGUUAUGUGUUCGAUAUUUGUAACACGCAACGAUAUAAACCGUCGUAAAUAUACGAUUGAACAAUUUCUGUGAAAUACCGUAUUGUAGAGUAGCAAAAAAAAAUCAAAUAUUAACCGUUAAUGCCGUAAACUUUCUCGCUUUCACGACGUUUUUCCCGAUAAAUAAAAAAACCACACGGAAAAUUAUUGGAGUAAGAUUUUCGGUAAACGAUUUUUUUACAGAAAUCGCACGCAUCAUGGUCAAACCAAUGCAUCGGUCAGAAUAUCUAAACAGUUUUAUUUGCGGUUUUCCCGGUUUCCUCUUAUACGGCGGUGCUAUAUCAUUUCCCCUAUGUCCCCAUUUAAAUUAGUUAAAGGAGAGCGUAAUGGUUUUGAUACGGACACAAAAUACUCGAGGAUACAAUAUCAGCGUUCAUCGUCGAGCGUUAAGAGAACGCGACACCUACCGAAUUCAAGGGGUUGCGUAUAGGCAAUUUUCUGUUAAAGUUUGAAUGUACGUAAAUUGCAAUUUAUCGAAUAACAAUAAUUCAAAUUUACUUCCUGACGCAUUUUCAAAUUGACCGGUGUCGCGAACGUCACAAGUAUAUAUUACCGGGCACCUCUGAAACGAAACGAAAGAUGUUCUUGGAGAAAAUCGGAAAAUCGAGAAGGUGAGACU